rnacentral:lncRNA from 1 species
UCAUGUUUUCUAUUCUUGUGUGUUGAUAUGGUUGAGUGCAGGUUCCCGUUAUCUUUAAAGAUAGUUUCUCAGCAGGAGGUUGGACUAUCUGGGUAACGGUUUGAUUGCGUUGUUUAGUAUUGAUAUUGUUGUUUAGUUGUUGGUGUUAGUGGUCUUAGGCCAUAUAGGCCGGAUUACUGGUACUACUGUUUCGUGUUGAAGAGUCGAGUGUCUAGUUAGGAUCUGGAACUUUAGCCUUAUGUUAGGUUCUAUAUUGAGUUUGAGUUGUGUGAGUGUUGCCGACAGUAUGUGCGUAACCCGCCCAUACUAGGCUUGUUUAGGGGUGAUUAGUGUUUCCCCGGCCUCGUACCCAGCGGGUUCAAGGAAACCCCUUAUUCGCUGGAUCGGGAAGACUCAGACGAACGGGGUCAUGUCCUAUGGCUGAGUAUUACCCGACGGUGUAAUGUGGCAGUGGCCCGAAGGACUGUGGACGGUCGCGCGGUGACCCGAAGGACUGUGGGCCGCGGUCGGUUGAAAGUUCCUUCUUCUAGCCUUUGUGGUAGGAAGAUAGGAUAUUGCUGAUAGAGAGGAGGAACACGAAGUCACCAGGGCCCAGGUUAGAGUGUUGUGUUAGUGUGUCGUACAGGGUUAUGGAGCCCUCGAGUUAGUGUAGCAUCGAUAUACGGUGUUACGAGAUAGAUCGAGUCGUAGUUACUCAUAGUAUCUUAUUAUUAUGAUUGUGUUUGGUUGUUGAUUGAUUUGUUUUCAGGUUCUGACAUUAAAUCCUAAGUCUGGUUUAGGUACCGGAUUAGGCUUCGUGUGUAUUUGGUUUGUGUAGGCCUGACGUUGGCCUGUAUGUGUUUGAAGGAUUGCUUGUGAAGGGUGGUGGAUAUUAAAGCUAUGCGGUAUCAUUGGUUGGCCGACCAUG